AAUGUAAACUAAGUAAGAAAAUAUUGACGCAGUCAGCUGUCUUGGUCAGCACCCCAGCCCAGGUGUGAAUCAACACUGGCACACUAUAUCAAAAUUCAGGAUGGUGGCUGAAGCUCUGACAUCUCCUAUGUAAACACCUAAAUGCCAAGUCUGGACUUCAAAAACAGAUUCUGAAAGUUUAACCAGCAUUAUGGACAAAAAGUAUACACUUCGAACAGACACAAAAACAUAUAGGUCCAUGCCAAGCUAUGAAAGAUU